rnacentral:rRNA from 1 species
UACGAAGGGGGCUAGCGUUGUUCGGAAUCACUGGGCGUAAAGCGCACGUAGGCGGACUUUCAAGUCAGGGGUGAAAUCCCGGGGCUCAACCUCGGAAUUGCCUUUGAUACUGUAAGUCUCGAGUCCGGAAGAGGUGGGUGGAAUUCCUAGUGUAGAGGUGAAAUUCGUAGAUAUUAGGAAGAACACCGGUGGCGAAGGCGGCCCACUGGUCCGGUACUGACGCUGAGGCGCGAAAGCUAGGGUAGCAAACGGG